GAUGAACGCUGGCGGCGUGCCUAAUACAUGCAAGUCGAGCGAACAGACGAGGAGCUUGCUCCACUGACGUUAGCGGCGGACGGGUGAGUAACACGUGGAUAACCUACCUAUAAGACUGGGAUAAUUUCGGGAAACCGGAGCUAAUACCGGAUAAGAUAUUGAAUCGCAUGGUUCAAUAGUGAAAGACGGUUUUGCUGUCAAUUAUAGAUGGAUCCGCGCCGCAUUAGCCAGUUGGUAAGGUAACGGCUUACCAAGGCAACGAUGCGUAGCCGACCUGAGAGGAUGAUCGGCCACACUGGAACUGAGACACGGUCCAGACUCCUACGGGAGGCAGCAGUAGGGAAUCUUCCGCAAUGGGCGAAAGACUGACGGAGCAACGCCGCGUGAGUGAUGAAGGUCUUCGGAUCGUAAAACUCUGUUAUUAGGGAAGAACAAAUGUGUAAGUAACUAUGCACGUCUUGACGGUACCUAAUCAGAAAGCCACGGCUAACUACGUG
rnacentral:rRNA from 1 species